AUUUGUUUGAUCCUGCCAGUAGUCAUACUCUCGUCUCAAAGAUUAAGCCAUGCAUGUGUAAGUAUAAAUAGUUAGCUUUGAAACUGCGAAUGGCUCAUUAUAUCAGUUAUAGUUUAUUUGAUGAAGAAUACUAAUUGGAUAACCGUAGUAAUUCUAGAGCUAAUACAUGUAUAAAGUCUUGUAGACUGCAUUUAUUAGAAUGAAAACCAUAGGUUUCGGCCUAUUCGUGAGUAAUAAUAACUAAUCAUAUCGUAUGCUUAUGUAACGAUGUGUCUUUCAAGUUUCUGCCCUAUCAGCUUUCGAUGGUAGUGUAUUGGACUACCAUGGCAGUAACGGGUAACGAAGAAUUUGGGUUCGAUUUCUGAGAGGGAGCCUGAGAGAUGGCUACCACAUCCAAGGAAGGCAGCAGGCGCGUAAAUUACCCAAUCCUGACACAGGGAGGAAGUGACAAUAAAUCACAAUGCGGAACAAUGUUUUGCAAUUGGAUUGAGAACAACGUACAAACCUUAUCUAUAAACAAUUGGAGGGCAAGUCUGGUGCCAGCAGCCGCGGCAAUUCCAGCUCCAAUAGCGUAUAUUAACGUUGUUGCAGUUAAAAAACUC
rnacentral:rRNA from 1 species